rnacentral:rRNA from 1 species
CUACGGGACGCACCAGUGAGGAAUAUUGGUCAAUGGGCGCGAGCCUGAACCAGCCAUCCCGCGUGCAGGAUGACGGCCCUAUGGGUUGUAAACUGCUUUUCUAUGCCAAGAAACCUGAUUACGUGUAAUCAGUUUCCGGUAGCAUAGGAAUAAGCAUCGGCUAACUCCGUGCCAGCAGCCGCGGUAAUACGGAGGAUGCAAGCGUUAUCCGGAGUCAUUGGGUUUAAAGGGUGCGCAGGUGGGCUUGUAAGUCAGUGGUGAAAUGCUGCCGCUUAACGGUAGAACUGCCAUUGAUACUGGGAGUCUUGAGUAUGGUUGAGGUAGGCGGAAUGUGUUGUGUAGCGGUGAAAUGCAUAGAUAUGACACAGAACGCCAAUUGCGAAGGCAGCUUACUAAGCCAUUACUGACGCUGAGGCACGAAAGCGUGGGGAGCGAACAGGAUUAGAUACCCUCGUAGUC